rnacentral:lncRNA from 1 species
UACUUUGAACAGACUAAAAGAUUUUUGACUCACUAAUGAGAACGUUAUAAUUUUGACAACUAUUAAAGCGAGUGGUCGAAUAAGGUAAAAAGAAUUCAUGUAGCUUAUCCCAAAUUUAUUGGGAAUAAGCUUUAGUUUGCUGCUAUAGCAGUACUGCUGCCAUUGAGAAUAAAUAAAACCUGCAUUUCAAUUUAUUCCAAAAAUUGUUUCUACUGCUCUUAUUGCUUGUGAAUCUGUUUUCUUAAAGAUAAAUACAUUUUUGAGUAUCUAUAUUUGUUCAAACUACGAGAUCUAAAUUAGGAUUUAGGGUUUAAUAUAAUGGAGCAGCUUACAGGGUUUCUUAUAAGCCCACAAAAUAUGGGACACACACUAUUUGUGGCUCAUAAGAUGCCAUAAGUUGGGGUUUCCCUAUUGACGCCAACACUUUGUAUGGCUUAUAAGAAAAUUCCAUGAGUUGCUUCCAAACAUACUCAUAGCCAAACUAAGCUGGAUUCUUGUUUCUUGUCUAUAGAAAACAGUUACAUCCAAAUGUUUAUUUUUUGGUCGAAACUCAAUGUCUAGUUUAACUUGAUUGGGGAACUAUUAAUGGAUUUGAAUCCACAACAAACCUACAUUGAAGGAAAUUUUAAACAGGAAAUCAGGAAUGCAUAAGAGAAACUAUGAACUGUAGAAAGAGAAUAUACCGUUCGAAUUGGCAGGCCUAAAAAGUUGAGCUUCAGAAUAGGGGUUAUUGGGCUUCUGCCUGUGCCAUGAUAGUAUUUACAAGCCUUUCCGUACUUGCAUCCCCCUGAUGUCAAGUAAUACUGCAUAGAGUGCAAGUAGUGUUUUAUCUAGUACAGAAGUUAAGUUUAAUAGCAUAUUGCAUGAAGGCAUCAUUUAAAAUGAUAACAUAAGUGAAUAUCAAGAGCUUCACCUUAUGAAAGGGUAACAAGCUUCAAGGAAAACACACUAAGAAUUUACAAAUAGUUUAAUUUAUAAAUAUAUAGAAAUGAGUGGUGGAUAAGUGGAUAAUAUCUGUGGAUCCACAUGAAUGUGUUAUUGAAAAAGUUCGACCAUUCAUAAAUAACUUAUAAGUUUUUCCGAACAGAGGCUUAGUCACGUAGGAUUAGUCUUAAAAUUAUUUAAUUAACAGUUUCCUAUUUGAAAUCCUAGUUUAAUGUAGAAGCCUUUUAGAUCUAUAAUACUCACUUAAGAGUGAUUUUGCUCAACCCUUAUAUGGGUGAUCCCUUCUCACUUCUCCCACUUCGUCUUUACUACUACUCUUCUUAUUUGUUUCUAUAUAAGAUGUUCUUCUACUAUAUUUAGACAUAAUCUAACUCAAUUUUCAUCGCUAAUAAACAGACUUAUUAGUUAUCCUGGAUAAAGCAUUCUUAUUUCCAUAAUAUCGAAUAGAGCAAUGCUAUUCAUCAUUAGUAGAGAUAAUUAUGUUUUGGCCUCCUAAUUCAUUGUCCAAUGGAAUUGUAAUGCAUUUUAAUGCAAUGGAAAUGAAUUAAAAGGGCCGACUAUCACCUAUAGUGGCGAUCAUUUCUACUAAUGAUGAAUAGCAAUUACUCUAUCGAAUAGCACUAUUGGUCCUUUUAUUUGUUCUUUUUUGUUUGAAUAGAUAUUCAAAUCUCGAGACCUACUCUAAUUUGCAGGGUUAGAUUCCUGUAUAAAUGCGAAUCAUUCCUCAAUUACAUAUUAUUAUUAUGUCAAGAUGAUUCUGAGAAGCAACCACAGCAAGCAAAUCUAUGUUACAGUUCGUAUCGACAAAAUUACCCGAAGGAAAUAAGAUCACAAAAAUUCAUAGAUAAAUAUAUUUGAUGAUUAAAGUCCCCCCACGCCCUGCAAAAUAAAAAAAAACAAAAAAAAACAGCGGAUUCGAUAAUGACCUUGCAUUCAAUCUGUCCAGCCCUUUCUGGGUUCCCUUCCCUUUGAUUUUCUCUCUCCUUAACAUCCUUCAAAAGAAAAUUCAUACAUGGGUAAAAUAAAAUAUUAGGAAAAUUAACCAAUCAUCAAUAUUUCCAAGAUUUCAAACUGAGUAACAAUACUAUACUAAACUCCACGACAGGCGAGAAGAUUUACAUAAGCAAUGAAUGUUAACAACUUCAUUAUCUUUAGUAAUGAAAACACGAAUGUUAAUGAAACAAAUUUAUUUCUGUUCAUAUAUUGCAACAUGUGGAAGAAAUUAAUAUGCAAAAAUUUAGAACUAAUGUAGAAUGUGCGCAUCAAAGACCAUAUUUAGGGAAUAUAAAAAUGAGUUACUGCAAUAUAAGAAGGAUCUACCACAGCAUUUGAUCGGUCAAACAAGACAUGAAUUCAUGCAUAAGAAACAUGCAGAUGUCUACAGAUGCACACACAAUUCUUCAAAAUAUUACAUAUACUUGUAUAAACAUCUCUUACUUCUGGAACAGUCAACAAUACACACAAUCCAAUUAUAAAUACUUUUACUAACUCGAUCUCAAAAACACUCCUUUAGUAAAAACUGAUUGAAAUCGCUCCUUUAGUAUUAUUAUUUAAAGUAGCAAAAGACCCUUUUUUUUACCAACCUAGCCCUUGAAUCUACAUAAUAACAUGGAAAUCUAGGAGAAGAAGAAGAUGAAGAUGAUACAAUCUAUGUACAGACGACUUACGACAUUCUAAGAGAUUCGACAACUUCUGAUCAAUCAAAUGACUCCCAUGCAUCACUCAAGGAGACUUGUGUGAACUAUUUUCCAAUCACAUUUCAAUUUAUUCCAAAAAUUGUUUCUACUGCUCUUAUUGCUUGUGAAUCUUUUUUCUUAAAGAUAAAUACAUUUUUGAGUAUCUAUAUUUGUUCAAACUACGAGAUCUAAAUUAGGAUUUAGGGUUUAAUAUAAUGGAGCAGCUUAUAGGGUUUCUUAUAAGCCCACAAAAUAUGGGACACACACUAUUUGUGGCUCAUAAGAUGCCAUAAGUUGGGGUUUCCCUAUUGACGCCAACACUUUGUAUGGCUUAUAAGAAAAUUCCAUGAGUUGCUUCCAAACAUACUCAUAGCCAAACUAAGCUGGAUUCUUGUUUCUUGUCUAUAGAAAACAGUUACAUCCAAAUGUUUAUUUUUUGGUCGAAACUCAAUGUCUAGUUUAACUUGAUUGGGGAACUAUUAAUGGAUUUGAAUCCACAACAAACCUACAUUGAAGGAAAUUUUAAACAGGAAAUCAGGAAUGCAUAAGAGAAACUAUGAACUGUAGAAAGAGAAUAU